CCUACGGGUGGCAGCAGUGAGGAAUAUUGGUCAAUGGCCGGAAGGCUGAACCAGCCAUGCCGCGUGAAGGUCAGUGCCCUAUGGGCGUUAAACUUCUUUUGUGCGGGAGCAAUAAUGGUCACGUGUGGCCAGACGAGAGUACCGUACGAAUAAGCAUCGGCUCACUCCGUGCUAGCAGCCGCGGUAAUACGGGGGAUGCAAGCGGUAUCCGGGUUUAUUGGGUUUAAAGGGGGCGUAGGAUGGGAGGGAAGUCAGCGGGGAAAUGCCCCCGCUCAACGGGGUGAAGUGCCAUUGAUACUGCCUUGCUGGAAUGCGGAUGCCGUGGGAGGAAUGUGUGGUGUAGCGGUGAAAUGCAUAGAUAUCACACAGAACACCGAUUGCGAAGGCAUCUCACGAAUCCGCGAUUGACGCUGAUGCACGAAGGCGUGGGUAUCAAACAGGAUUAGAUACCCUUGUAGUC
rnacentral:rRNA from 1 species